rnacentral:rRNA from 1 species
CGCCUGUUUAUCAAAAACAUCUCUUCUCGUUAGUUUUUGAAGUAUGGCCUGCCCACUGACCUUGAAUGUUGAAGGGCCGCGGUAUUUUGACCGUGCAAAGGUAGCAUAGUCAUUAGUUCUUUAAUUGUGAUCUGGUAUGAAUGGCUUGACGAGGCAUAAGCUGUCUUAAUUUUGAAUUGUUUAUUGAAUUUGGUCUUUGAGUUAAAAUUCUUAGAUGUUUUUAUGGGACGAGAAGACCCUAUAGAGUUUGACAUUUAUUACGGUCUCUUUCUGUUUGUGAGGGUUCACUAGGGCUGUUUAAUAUGUUUUGUUGGGGUGAUGGGAGGGAUAUUAUUUAACCCCUCCUUUGUGUUGUUAUAUUUAUUUAUAUUUGCUUGAUCCAUUUAUUUUGAUUGUAAGAUUAAAUUACCUUAGGGAUAACAGCGUAA